rnacentral:tRNA from 1 species
GCGCCAGUAGCUCAGUUGGAUAGAGCAACGGCCUUCUAAGCCGUCGGCCGGGGGUUCGAAUCCUCCCUGGCGCACCA